GACACAGUGGCGCAGUAGGUAGUGCUGUUGCCUCACAGCAAGAAGGUCGCGGGUUCGAGCCUCGACUGUGUCG
rnacentral:tRNA from 1 species